GUUAAGCGACUAAGCGUACACGGUGGAUGCCCUGGCAGUCAGAGGCGAUGAAGGACGUGCUAAUCUGCGAUAAGCGUCGGUAAGGUGAUAUGAACCGUUAUAACCGGCGAUUUCCGAAUGGGGAAACCCAGUGUGUUUCGACACACUAUCAUUAACUGAAUCCAUAGGUUAAUGAGGCGAACCGGGGGAACUGAAACAUCUAAGUACCCCGAGGAAAAGAAAUCAACCGAGAUUCCCCCAGUAGCGGCGAGCGAACGGGGAGCAGCCCAGAGCCUGAAUCAGUGUGUGUGUUAGUGGAAGCGUCUGGAAAGGCGCGCGAUACAGGGUGACAGCCCCGUACACAAAAAUGCACAUGCUGUGAGCUCGAUGAGUAGGGCGGGACACGUGGUAUCCUGUCUGAAUAUGGGGGGACCAUCCUCCAAGGCUAAAUACUCCUGACUGACCGAUAGUGAACCAGUACCGUGAGGGAAAGGCGAAAAGAACCCCGGCGAGGGGAGUGAAAAAGAACCUGAAACCGUGUACGUACAAGCAGUGGGAGCACGCUUAGGCGUGUGACUGCGUACCUUUUGUAUAAUGGGUCAGCGACUUAUAUUCUGUAGCAAGGUUAACCGAAUAGGGGAGCCGAAGGGAAACCGAGUCUUAACUGGGCGUUAAGUUGCAGGGUAUAGACCCGAAACCCGGUGAUCUAGCCAUGGGCAGGUUGAAGGUUGGGUAACACUAACUGGAGGACCGAACCGACUAAUGUUGAAAAAUUAGCGGAUGACUUGUGGCUGGGGGUGAAAGGCCAAUCAAACCGGGAGAUAGCUGGUUCUCCCCGAAAGCUAUUUAGGUAGCGCCUCGUGAA
rnacentral:rRNA from 1 species